UACGGGGGGGGCAAGCGUUGUUCGGAAUUACUGGGCGUAAAGGGCUCGUAGGCGGCCAACUAAGUCAGACGUGAAAUCCCUCGGCUUAACCGGGGAACUGCGUCUGAUACUGGAUGGCUUGAGUUCGGGAGAGGGAUGCGGAAUUCCAGGUGUAGCGGUGAAAUGCGUAGAUAUCAGGAGGAACACCAGCGGCGAAGGCGGCGCUCUGGGCCGGUACUGACACUGAGGAGCGAAAGCGUGGGUAGCAAACAGG
rnacentral:rRNA from 1 species